rnacentral:rRNA from 1 species
AGAGUUUGAUCCUGGCUCAGAUUGAACGCUGGCGGAAUGCUUUACACAUGCAAGUCGAACGGUAGAGGGGGCAACCCCUUGAGAGUGGCGAACGGGUGAGUAAUAUAUCGGAACGUGCCCAGUCGUGGGGGAUAACGUAGCGAAAGUUACGCUAAUACCGCAUACGAUCUAAGGAUGAAAGCGGGGGAUCGCAAGACCUCGCGCGACUGGAGCGGCCGAUAUCAGAUUAGGUAGUUGGUAGGGUAAAGGCCUACCAAGCCAACGAUCUGUAGCUGGUCUGAGAGGACGACCAGCCACACUGGAACUGAGACACGGUCCAGACUCCUACGGGAGGCAGCAGUGGGGAAUUUUGGACAAUGGGCGAAAGCCUGAUCCAGCCAUUCCGCGUGCAGGAUGAAGGCCCUCGGGUUGUAAACUGCUUUUGUACAGAACGAAAAGGUUUCUAUUAAUACUAGGAGCUCAUGACGGUACUGUAAGAAUAAGCACCGGCUAACUACGUGCCAGCAGCCGCGGUAAUACGUAGGGUGCAAGCGUUAAUCGGAAUUACUGGGCGUAAAGCGUGCGCAGGCGGUUAUAUAAGUCAGAUGUGAAAUCCCCGGGCUCAACCUGGGAACUGCAUUUGAGACUGUAUAGCUAGAGUACGGUAGAGGGGGAUGGAAUUCCGCGUGUAGCAGUGAAAUGCGUAGAUAUGCGGAGGAACACCGAUGGCGAAGGCAAUCCCCUGGACCUGUACUGACGCUCAUGCACGAAAGCGUGGGGAGCAAACAGGAUUAGAUACCCUGGUAGUCCACGCCCUAAACGAUGUCAA